rnacentral:lncRNA from 1 species
GGAUAAUCAAGCUUUAAUUACUCUUCAGGCUUAUUGUGAUGUCAAUAAUCCAUGUAAGAGUGUCCAAGUAAGUUCCUUCUUCUCUCUGCUUCACAUAAAAGCAUUUAGAAAGUUGAAAAAAGAAUUAUAUUUACGAUAUUUGGUCUUUUAUAUCUUUGUUGAGCUUCUUUUCCGCAUUCUUGCCCUUCUUGGGGUUCCGGGAAGAAUCGGACCACAAUGGUCUAUUCUACACAGCUUUAUCCUGCAUUUCUAUAGGAGGUUGUUUUCAACAGCUCGAACUCAUGAUUUUCUGGUCACAUAACAGCAAUUUCAUCAGUUACGUCAAGGCUCUCCUUCAUUCUCGCAUAUUGUUAUAGGUUAUCUAUUCAAUUAUUUGGCGGUAUUUAAUUGGAUAUAGAGUGCAAGCAAAACCGACCAAAUAAAGCUUUUAGAACCCAAAAAACUGAAUUAAUUUUGAAUUUUGAUUUGGUUUUUGGUUCACCUAAACAAAAAUCGAAAACUGAACAAAUCGAAUAGUUGGACAACUAAAUUGAAUCAAUCGAUGUUAUAGGGAGCGUUUUUUCUUUUAGUGGACCUUAUGCAAUACGAAUCUGGAAUAGUCAGUGGGUUUCGACCCUGAAUGCAUUGAACAAAACACAAAAAGAGUAAUUAUUGAUUACUUAUUACUCUUGUUGCUGGAACAUCACAAAGCCUUUUUGUUGGAACCCUAAUUUGUUUGAGACCGAGGCGUAAUUGUUGUUGUUGGUAUUUUUGCUGGAACCUCACAAAACCUUUUGUGAAAAAUGUACCUGCAGAGAGUGGCAGCAGAGGCGGUCGCCACCAUUGCUGCCACCGCCCGCCUGCGCCCUCGGCCACAGCCAAAAUGCAGUGCUAGUGAUGAAGCAAAGGUUAAAAAAUGCAUGACAAACACAACCUCCAUAGAUGCAUGUUGCCCAACAUUCCAAAGCAUAUUGGGCAAGAGUUGCCCUUGUUAUGCUUAUGCCAUGUUAUUAGACAAUCAAGCUUUGAUUACUCUUCAGGCUUAUUGUGAUGUUAGCAAUCCUUGUAAAAAAGUGCAAGUAAGUUCAGCCAUCCCCUUUUAAUCUACUCAACCUUGAGCCAUAUAUUUCAUUUUAUACGACACUCUUUUUUUUAAUCUCGUAAAAAAUAUAAAAUGACAUACUUUUAUUUUUAGAAACUCUUUAAUAUAUUAAACCAUCCAUUUUAUCCUAGCUACUAGAAUCAGUUGCGGAUCUAGAGCAUUGUAUAUGAAUUCCCGGGAACUUAAGUAACUUUUGCAUAGAUCCUGUAUUUCUAUUAAGAAAUUCACUAAAUAUCUAACUGUGAACUCAAUUAUUGUUGUAUAUUAAUUUAAGAUUGCAGAGCAACCCAUAAACUCCAAAUCAUGGAUCCGCCUCUGACUAGAAUGCUCUAUUAUAGUGAUAGAAAUAGCAUAGUCGGGUUAUCGGGUAUAUAGGAUGCCUUUGUAUGCACCAAAUUCGUCUUUCUAAUUUUUAUUUUUCUUUUCAAAAUACCAUACUAGUGAAAUAUCACCAUAUAAUAUAAAAUUAUUAAUUACUCCGUCUCAAUUUAUAUGGCACUGUUUGAUUUGGCACAAAAUUAAAGAAAAAUAUAAAAAAAAACUAAAACUUAUGGUCUAAACUAAGUUUUAUACAUUUGUAUGGUUAUUACAAAUCACCUCAUUAAUUCUGUGGUUAAUUUGCUGGUUUCAGGUGAUAUGAUAGAGCUAGCCAGGAUGGAGAUGGAAAAAAUUAAAUAAUAAUGAACGUUUAAUUCCUAAUGAUGAACUACUCCUAUUUGUUUACCUCUGUUGCAACUGAUCUGUUUUAUCUUCGUACUGUUUUAUAUUUAAGACUUUGAGCAAUAACUUAGCAUCCUUUUGCAUUACAUAUGUGCUCGUAGCAUUCUUUUUUUGCAUUUCGUAUGUUCUCAAACAGGCCCUGACACCACGUUUUGUGCAACAGAAUAUGGAAUAUAUAAAAAUGCGAG